rnacentral:rRNA from 1 species
GACGAACGCUGGCGGCGUGCUUAACACAUGCAAGUCGAACGGAAAGGCCCUGCUUUUGUGGGGUGCUCGAGUGGCGAACGGGUGAGUAACACGUGAGUAACCUGCCCUUGACUUUGGGAUAACUUCAGGAAACUGGGGCUAAUACCGGAUAGGAGCUCCUGCUGCAUGGUGGGGGUUGGAAAGUUUCGGCGGUUGGGGAUGGACUCGCGGCUUAUCAGCUUGUUGGUGGGGUAGUGGCUGACCAAGGCUUUGACGGGUAGCCGGCCUGAGAGGGUGACCGGCCACAUUGGGACUGAGAUACGGCCCAGACUCCUACGGGAGGCAGCAGUGGGGAAUAUUGCACAAUGGGCGGAAGCCUGAUGCAGCAACGCCGCGUGCGGGAUGACGGCCUUCGGGUUGUAAACCGCUUUCGCCUGUGACGAAGCGUGAGUGACGGUAAUGGGUAAAGAAGCACCGGCUAACUACGU